rnacentral:lncRNA from 1 species
CGGCGGUGCGCUAAACAGAGUGAGUACGGCAGUGCGCUAAACAGAGUGAGUACGGCGGUGUGCUAAACAACCAAAGAUUUCAAGACUAAAGGUCGGUUUAUACGACGUCUAUCGACAGUUGUCGCCAUGACAUCAUAAACAUUCUAUUGUCAUCCGACAUCAAACUUGUCGUUAUGAAAGAUUCCCCGGGAGGGGCGGUUCCCCUUUCAGCCCCGUAGGAAACACCAGGUAGGGAGGGGCGGUUCCCCUUUCAGCCCCGGAGGAAACACCAGGUAGGGAGGGGCGGUUCCCUUGCUGCCCCUUAUUAAGGCAAGCACCGGGUAGGGAGGGGCGGUUCCCUUGCUGCCCCUUAUUAAGGCAAGCACCGGGUAGGGAGGGGCGGUUCCCUUGCUGCCCCUUAUUAAGGCAAGCACCGGGUAGGGAGGGGCGGUUCCCUUGCUGCCCCUUAUUAAGGCAAGCACCAGGGUCUUGAACUGGAGGGACAUUACUCAGAGAGUUCAUCACUGCCAGAUUAUAUCUGACAGUCAACAGUUCUGUGUGGUUUUAUUUGGAAGUUAGGAGAGAGAGCAUGUCAGAAGGUCAUGGGUCAUACAUGUUAGGGUUAGGGAUCAAAUCCAUCCCCGCUCUGGUACACAUGUGUCUGUUAGGGUUAGGGAUCAAAUCCAUCCCCGCUCUGGUACACGUGUGUCUGGAAUACACUGAAUGCUGGUUGGGUUAGGGUUAGGGAUCAUCCUGUUGUUGCAGGAAUUUUCCAGCACAGCAGGAAAUGUAAAUAGGACUGUAUACGAGGUUGAAAAACACAUCAGAAGUUUGUGAUUUCCACUUUUCAAAUGAUUUUCUUAGAUUUUUCCCUAAUGAAAAAUGUACCAACCCCUACAGAUUAAAAAAAUAAAUUAUAAUCCACAAUACAAUUUACAUUUCCUGUUGCUGCAGUAUUAUUUUCCUUCUUUAGCACACUGGCUCAAAUUAUGAUACGACAUCUGUACAGUAUGAACAGCUGGGACACAACAAACUGCACCCUGGGAAAGAUCUGAACACUUUAGACAGGGAAAGACCUGGACACUUUAUACAGGGAAAGACCUCAACACUUUAUACAGGGAAAGACCUGAACAGUUCUACAGAGAAAGACCAGAACACUUUAUACACCGAAAGAUUUCAAAACUUUAUACAGCAAAAGAUUUCAACACUUUAUAAAGGGAAAGCCCUCAAAACCUUAUAGGUCUCAACACAUUAUAUAGGGAAAUAGCUCAACACUUUAUACAAGGAAAGAUCACAACACUUUAUAGGGAAAGAUGUCAACACUUUAUACAGGGAAAGACCUCAACUUUAUUCAGGGAAAGAUUUCAACACUUUAUACAGGGAAAGAUCUCAACACUUUUUAUACGGGGAAAAAUUUCAACACUUUAUACAGGGAAAGACCUGAACACUUUAUACAGGGAAAGAUCUCAACACUUUAUACAGGGAAAGACCUCAACACUUUAUACAGGGAAAGACCAACAUUUUAUACAGGGAAAGAACUCAACACUUCAUACAGGGAAAGACCAACAUUUUAUACAGGGAAAGAUAACACUUUAAACAGCGAAAUAUUUCAAAACUUUAUACAGCGAUAGACUUCAACACUUUAUAAAGGGAAAGAUUUCAGUACUUUAUACUGGGAAAGGCCUCAACACUUCAUACAGGGAAAGAUCUGAACACUUUAUACAGGGAAAAACCAACACUUUAUACAGGGAAAGAUUUCAGUACUUUAUACAGGGAAAGA